AAAAAACAGAUCGUUGAAGAUUGAGACAGAGCUUGAACAAACAGAAGUGAUUUACGAAGUUUCACCGAAACCUGAUAGUGCUGGUACUGGUGAAAUACAAAGCAUUGUCUGGUAAGCCAACAACAACAACAACAACAACAUUUUUUUGACUGACUUCACAUGUUUAUAAAUUCAUAAGUCUUUCAUAAAUCAUGUCCCAUAUAUAGUUUGUAGUUUUGUUUCUUAUAUAUUUUUAAAUGGCUCUAAAUCAACAUCCAUGAUGUCUCAGCGCUGCCUCAGUGUGUAAGGACUUCUCUGAUUACAAUGAACCAGUACUGUACAAUGAAUAGUUUGAUGUGUAGUACAAUAUCAUCAUUCAUCGCAGCAUGACUAUAUUAAUCAUCUUAUGUUAUUUUUAUUUUGGUAUGUGUGUGGCUAUUGUUUGACUCGCUGGAGUUGUCUGUGCUCUUUCUGUUUUGCAACUUGUUUGUUGUGUGUGGAUCAAAUUUAGUAUGCUUUAUACGCUCUAUUUUGUAUUGGAAUAUUAUUUGUUAGGUGUCAUUAUAGUAUGCUUUAUAAGCUUCACUUUGUAUUGGAAUAUAAUUUGUUAUUUGUCUUGUUUGAUUAAAGUAUGCCGUCACACUUUAUUUUGAUGGUCCGUUUGUUGAAUUUAAAUUACAUUGCAUCUACAUGCUAACUAAUUCUCAUUAGAUUAUACGUAGGCUUUUAGGUUGGGG